UACGUAGGGUGCAAGCGUUGUCCGGAAUUAUUGGGCGUAAAGAGCUCGUAGGCGGUUUGUCGCGUCUGCUGUGAAAACCUAGGGCUUAACCCUGGGCCUGCAGUGGGUACGGGCAGACUAGAGUGCGGUAGGGGAGACUGGAAUUCCUGGUGUAGCGGUGAAAUGCGCAGAUAUCAGGAGGAACACCGGUGGCUAAAGCGGCUUCCUGGUCCGACACAGACGUUCAGGCACGAAAGCGUGGGGAGCAAACAGG
rnacentral:rRNA from 1 species